rnacentral:rRNA from 1 species
AUUGAACGCUGGCGGCAGGCCUAACACAUGCAAGUCGGACGGUAGCACAGAGGAGCUUGCUCCUUGGGUGACGAGUGGCGGACGGGUGAGUAAUGUCUGGGGAUCUGCCCGAUAGAGGGGGAUAACCACUGGAAACGGUGGCUAAUACCGCAUAACGUCGCAAGACCAAAGAGGGGGACCUUCGGGCCUCUCACUAUCGGAUGAACCCAGAUGGGAUUAGCUAGUAGGCGGGGUAAUGGCCCACCUAGGCGACGAUCCCUAGCUGGUCUGAGAGGAGGGCCUGCCACACUGGAACUGAGACACGGUCCAGACUCCUACGGGAGGCAGCAGUGGGGAAUAUUGCACAAUGGGCGCAAGCCUGAUGCAGCCAUGCCGCGUGUAUGAAGAAGGCCUUCGGGUUGUAAAGUACUUUCAGCGGGGAGGAAGGCGGUGAGGUUAAUAACCUCGCCGAUUGACGUUACCCGCAGAAGAAGCACCGGCUAACUCCGUGCCAGCCGCCGCCGUAA